rnacentral:lncRNA from 1 species
UUUUUUUUUUUUUUUUAAUUUGGUCAGUUUUUUGAGACAGGGCUUCUCUGUGUAGUCCUGGCUGCCCUGAAACUUGCCAUUGUUGACAGGGAUGGCUUUCCUCUGCCUCCUGAAUGCUGGGAUUAAAGGAGUGAACCACCAUGCCCAGCCCCUAUCUUUUAAGUUGGGCUCAGGAAUUCUUACUCUUGCCAUCUCUUGUUUCUUUCAGUAACUUGGAUCCACUUACAGAAACUGUAUCCUUUCUGAGAAAAAAAAAAAGUAAAACUAAGGAUUAUUUAUGGAGAAGAAAAUUGGAGAAACAGAAGAAAAAGAUGAGUUUUGAAAAAUGUUUUAAGGAAUAGGUUUUGAACAGCACAAUCGACAUUGAAAACGAUCACAAAACUGAGAGGGAGUGGCCUCAGGUUUGCCCACAAGCUGUUAAGGUAAAGACUACAUGACACAGUUCCACUGCAGCUCUGCUGCUCACAGUAACCCUGGUUGUACACAGACAGCAGCAACAGCACAGGUAGGUGGGACCUGUCUCCCCUGCUGUGAACCAGACCUAGAGAGGGUAAGUGGCUCCAUAGUGUCUCCAGCAGCCCUGCUCAAUAGAGCCUGGGUCUUUCUGGCAUACAUGGCUUCCAGAACACGUCUUCAUACGUGUUUCAGGGCAUGCAGUCAAAAUAGGAGAGGUGAUUGCUUUGGGAAGCACCACACAGCCCUACUCUCUCACUGUCCAGGAGCUGCCUCCUGACUUGUUGCUGAAGAGAAUAACGGAUUUUAGUAAACAGUUUCUAUCAACUCAGUAGAAAAGGAGGAAAAAUGUCAAGUUAGGGUAUUCCUGAUUGUACUACAAUAGUAGAUCAGUGGCUUACAACACAAAUAAGAUUUCUAAACCACCUUCUACAGACUACUGCUGGGGAUUACAGGUAGCUUACUAGAGCACAGAAGCUAAUGAAGAGCUAGUUCAGUUUCACCACUCAAAAGACACGCAAACUAAAAUAUGAGAACCCAGUUUACUAUAUCAGAUUCUCCAGAAUUUUGAAAAGAUACAACCCCGUGCUGCUGUGGUUAAGUAAGGUGCCUUUUUAGAAGCUGCUGGUGUCACAGUCAUCUGGCACCAUCUUUCUGAAAAGUACUUUAGAAGUAAUGCUAUUUCUUGAAGGCUGAAAAUAAAAAACAACAGGCAGUUUACUCUGGGGAUUGGCAAAGCAUGGAAGCAUGGACAAAUCUGGCUUAUCACUCAUUUCUUAGGGUUUUUUUUUAACCAGGAUACAGCCAUGUUGGUUAAUUUACAUACUGUCUGUGGUUCUGAGUUUGGGUGGAUAUGACAGUCCCCAAUACCACAUCUUAUUGUCCCUUUACAAAAAAAGUGACAUCAUAAAACUUAUUUUAAGAGAAUUAUAUUUAAAAACUUGGAAUGUCAUUCACAUUUACCAAUAAGGAAAUGAUAAAUUAAGCUGUCUUCAUCAAAAAUAUAGAAGGACCUAGAUAUUUUUAAGAAAUUAGUAAUGACCUAGAUGUCCCCUGGCAGAGGGAUGAGAUAGUUUAAGUUGUGCAGAGGAACACAAUUAACAACUACAAGCAUCAGGAGGCCACAUCAGAAACCAUGGAACAGAAAAACCAAAAAGCCCUCAAAGCACUUACAGGAAUAUGUAGGAUUUUGAAGAAUUUCAUGUCACAGAGAUUUUACCUUUGGUAAAAUAGUAGAUUACAAGUUAACCUGCACUUUUGACUAUAUAAGGCCUAGUGUAUAUGUAGGGAGUGGAGAUAUUGAGGGGAGGGGAGCUCACGGUAGUAGUGUCAGUUGCUGGACGGCAGGAAGACCAGCUAACACUACGUUCUGAAAGAAGUGGCUGCUUGCUCUUAAGAAGAAUUUCAAAGCUAACAGUGAUGAGAGGGCUCCCUGGGAACUUUUUCAUAGAAAGUGUAAUAAUAGUGUCUUUUUUAUUUUUUAAGAUUAAUUUAUUUUAUGUAUGUGAGUAUACUGUAGCUGUACAGAUGGUUGUGAGCCUUCAUGCGGUUGUUGUGAAUUAAAUUUUAGGACCUCUGCUCACUUCAGUCCCACCCUCUUCUAGUUUGUCAGAUCUCAUUAUGGGUGGUUGUAAGCCACCGUGUGGUUGCUGGGAUUUGAACUCAGGACCUUUGGAAGAGCAGUCAGUGUUCUUACCGGCUGAGUCAUCUCACCAGCCCCCUAAUAGUGUCUUUUUAUGUAAUUGCACCAGAAAGCUGACAUAAGGUGAAACAAACAUGGCAGUGAAUCAUAGCAGUAAGGACACCCCAGGUCGAAGAGAAACCAUUCAUUUAUUCUUUCUUUCCAAGUAAGAGAGCCUCGCUUUGUGUCCUAGUCUGGCUUGAACUACAGAUGCUUCUUUCUGCUGGAGAGCUGGGUUAUAGGCACAGGCUAGGCAGGCAGGCAUUUCCUCUGAACAUAAUUGAUUCCUUAGCAAAUUGAAUAGUUGCAUAGCUGUAGUCCAAGUAGAAACUGGCCAUUGAAUUUUCCAGUGUAAAUCAGGAGAUACAAAUGUUCUUUGUGCCCAGCAGUUGAUAGAAUAAAUUUGAGAGAGAAUCUAACUUUCUAGUGGCAGGGUAGAUGGACCAUGAACAGGAAGUAAUCCUAGAUGAUGAAUGGCACACAUAAUCAUAGGUACAAUCUGAUCAGUGUGGAGGCAGACUAGCAGAUUCUGCUUUCUACUAGAUGGCACCAUAUGCAUUCUACAUCUAGAGAGAUGGCCAGACAAUUUUAUUAAAAACAUUGAAAUUUUAUUAAAAACUAGUGCUGAUAUAAAUAUUCCAUUUCAUGGUAUUAGAAAAAUUAGUGUACUAAGUAGAGGAGGAUAAAAUCUCAAGUGUUUUUACAUGUGGUUGUGAAGGGAAGAUCUAAAGGGUAGAGGGUGACUCAACUGCCUUUCCUAAUCACUCUCCACUUUACACAGCUUCUCCCAAGUGCUGGGAUUACAAGCAGGCAGCCAAGCCCGUCCAGCAUUUAUGUGAAGACUAGGUAUCUGAGCUCCAGUCCUCAGCUGACAGCACUUGAUCCACCAUGCCACCUCCCUAGCCUGAUGGUAGUUUUUGUUUUGUUUCUCUACAUAGCCCUGGCUGUUCUAGGACUCACUGUAUAGACCAGGCUGGCCUCAAACUCAGGAGGCAGAGGGAUGCACCCGAAUCCAGUGUAAAUCAGGAGAUACAAAUGUUUCUCCUUUACGUUCUCUACAAAAACACAUAUGAGAAAUUAAAGUGCUGGGAUUAAAGGCAUGUACCAUUAUACCUGCUUUUGCUCUUUAUUAUGUCUCAUUCCUUAACAGCUCUAGUAUGGGAUUCCUUUUUACUUACAGUACCUUGCGCACUGGCCAGAGUAUUUCAUCGUCGCUGAAGCACCUGGCGGAGAACUAAUGGGUUAUAGUAAGUACAGUACCACUAGUACUUUUUUGGGUGAGUAAAGACUUUAAUACAGGUUUCAGUCUGCUUUACUCUAGAAUGUGAUGUAAAUCAUGAAAGAUGGAAUUUUAUUUUCAGAUCAAUUACUAACAGUUUACCACAUCCAGCCUUGCACUAGGCCAAGAGCUACAGCAGUGAACCUAAGAGAAAAGAUUGUAGUCUUUGUGGAUCAUUCCUUGUUAGAUUUCUGUAUGGUUACUUUGUAUAAGAGGCAGUGGUUAAAGCAAAGCCACUUAGCCGAUCAGCUCGAGCUAUGAAUUGCUGCAGUCAUACAUACAUUGUAAAUGUAUUUAAAUGUAGCUAUUUG